rnacentral:misc_RNA from 1 species
UCCGAUUUGUCACCGGCAGUCUCCUAUGAGUCCCCGUCUUUCACGCUGGCAACAUAGGACGAGGGUUGCGCUCGUUGCGGGACUUAACCCAACAUCUCACGACACGAGCUGACGACAGCCAUGCACCACCUGUAUACCGACCUUGCGGGGGCUACAUCUCUGCAGCUUUCCGGCAUAUGUCAAACCCAGGUAAGGUUCUUCGCGUUGCAUCGAAUUAAACCACAUGCUCCGCUGCUUGUGCGGGUCGCCGUCAAUUCCUUUGAGUUUUAGCCUUGCGGCCGUACUCCCCAGGCGGGGCACUUAAUGCGUUAGCGUCGGCACGGGAGGAGUCGACACCUCCCACACCUAGUGCCCAUCGUUUACGGCGUGGACUAC